AUCCUUUUGUAAUUCAUAAGCAUGAUGAUUGGGUGUUCAUGUGCAUGUGUGAGACAUGCUUCCCUCAACUUUGUUAUGACAUUGGCACAUUACCAUCUGGCA